CCUACGGGUGGCUGCAGUGAGGAAUAUUGGUCAAUGGGCGCGAGCCUGAACCAGCCACGUCGCGUGAGGGAAGACGGUCCUCUGGUUUGUAAACCUCUUUUGUCGGGGAGCAAAAGACGCCACGCGAGGCGUUCCGAGAGUACCUGAAGAUAAAGCAUCGGCUAACUCCGUGCCAGCAGCCGCGGUAAUACGGAGGAUGCGAGCGUUAUCAGGAUGUAUUGGGUUUAAAGGGUGCGCAGGCGGAAGGUCAAGUCAGCGGUAAAAUUGAGGGGCUCAACUCCUGCGAGCCGUUGAGACUGUUUAACUUGAGUGAGCGAGAGGUAAGCGGAAUGCGUGGUGGAGCGGUGAAAUGCGUAGAUAUCAGGCAGAACACCGAUUGCGAAGGCAGCAUACCGGCGCUCAACUGACGCUCAUGCACGAAAGUGUGGGGAGCGAACAGGAUUAGAUACCCGGGUAGUC
rnacentral:rRNA from 1 species